CCGAAAAGGCGACCGACCUUCGGGAGCUUGCACAGGUGCUGCAUGGCUGUCGUCAGCUCGUGUCGUGAGAUGUUCGGUUAAGUCCGCUAACGAGCGCAACCCUCGCUGUGUGUUACAAGUGUCACACGGUACUGCCGGUCUUAAGCCGGAGGAAGGUGGGGAUGACGUCAAGUCAGCAUGGCCUUUAUGUCCUGGGCUACACACACGCUACAAUGGCCAACACAAUAGGUUGCUAAGCCGCGAGGUGGAGCCAAUCCUCAAAGUUGGUCUCAGUUCAGAUUGCAGGCUGCAACCCGCCUGCAUGAAGAUGGAAUUGCUAGUAACCGCAGGUCAGCUAUACUGCGGUGAAUACGUUCCGGGCUU
rnacentral:rRNA from 1 species